UACCAGCACCCCGAGUGGUCGGGACGUUUAUUGGGCCUAAAGCAUCCGUAGCCGGUUUUACAAGUCUUCCGUUAAAUCCAGCUGCUUAACAGAUGGGCUGCGGAAGAUACUAUGGAGCUAGGAGGCGGGAGAGGCAAGCGGUACUCGAUGGGUAGGGGUAAAAUCCGUUGAUCCAUUGAAGACCACCAGUGGCGAAGGCGGCUUGCCAGAACGCGCUCGACGGUGAGGGAUGAAAGCCGGGGGAGCAAACCGG
rnacentral:rRNA from 1 species